AAUAAAGAUUUAUUAGAAUAUGCUCACACCCAUUUUUUUUUUUUUCAAAUGACCUAUGCUUUCAUGUAACAAUGGCAGAGUUGAGUAGUUGCAAGAGUGAUUUUAUGGCCCAUGAAACCUAAAAUGCUUGCUAUCUUUCCCGUUACAGAAGAAGUUUGCUGACCUCUGGCCUAACUUAUCACCACAAUUGGAGACGUAACUUACCCUCACGGACUUUGAGAACAAGGACCACACCUUUGUAUUCCCAGUACCAAAUGCUCUGUGCCUCUCACAGAGGGGUGCUGAAUAAAUAGGCAAAUGAAGAAAUUAAUGAAUAGAUUGAAGAAAUAAGUUUUCCAUGUGUUUAUUAUUCUCCUGAAAGACAGAGUUCAGGUUACCAAGACUUUCUCCCCAGAUGUAAUCCCAAAGGCUUUUUGGAGAUCUUCAAGGCUACCACUCCCAUCUCAGUCCAUGAGUGUCAGGACCUUAAAGCAUGAUGAUUUGAUGUGAUCCAGGGCUACUUUCUUUAUCAGCAUUAUAUAAAACCUCAGUAGGAGGCGAAUAAGGUCCAGCUAUGUACCCACUGUCUCUGAUGCUAAACAUCACUCCACAAUUACCACAUUAUUAUUUCUUCCAUCCUUGAGACCCUGAUUAUUUCUCACCAUUCUGUCCCAGAGAUGCUAUACGAGGAGAGGGAAGAGACUGGACAAGAUGAAAAGAAGAAGAGAGAAACAUAAAGAUCAUUGGAGAGAAAUAACUACUAAGAGACCUCCAAGGAGAAUAAGGGACAUUUAUUUUUACAUUUUUUCCAAUAAUUAUAUUUCUGAUAAAUACAUUCCCCACCCCACCCCAAAAUGUUUCUCUAGAGAAUUCAGGAAGAACUCACAGAAGAGUCAGGGCUUAAGAUGACCCUAAAAAGAUACGUAAGAGUUGGCUGGGGAGAUGGAAGUUGGGGAAAAGAGGCAAGUCUUCCCCAAGCCAAGACUCCCCAUCAAAGCCUCUCCAGAUGAGGGUGGACUCAACUAGUCUCUGUAGACCCUGCCCUUGCUUCUGUAAUCUGAACAUGAAUGGAGGCUGUGAUUUGGAACUGAGGAAAGGAGAGAAGAAAGAGAAGUGGUAGGCGGAGAAAACUUCAUCAAGGAAAUGGGAUUCAAGCAGGGCUUAGGUGUGUCAAGCUGCUGCUUCAAGGUCGCCUCCUCUUCUACUGUGGAUUGUCUGUGUCACUCUUGCCCCCUAACCACACACUGUGUUGUUGGUGUUCACGUCUACUCUUCUCCAACCCUAGCAUAAAUUUCUGCUCUUUCCUUCAGUAUCAAUGAAAUUACCAUGAUUUAGAAAGUAUUUAACAAGUAUUUCUUGAACAAUGAUAGAAAGAGUGUAAUCCAUGUUUUCCUUGACACUCCAAUUGGAGGAGAGGACAUGAAAAAUGUGACAUAAAAAGAGUAAUAAAAGGAUAUUUCUUUGGCUCUGGUGCCACCCAUGUAUGAGUGAACUUGAGAGAUAUUAAGGAGCUCAGCAUGUCUGUGAUUGUCCACCAUUAGCCAAAAAUGCAUUCUAAACAACAGGCAUUGAAUUUUGGGAGAGGAACUUAGUAGAGCCAUCACAAUGGCCUGAUCCAAUAGAAGAAUAGGUUAGCUUACUUGAUCCAGUGUUUCUGAAACAGCUACAGAUGGCUGACACUACUGUUUGCCAUUAGAAAUAGACAUUAUACUUGGCAUUCACAGAACUAAGGCUCCACCUGGCCCAAGAUCAGAAAAUAUCCAUUGACCAUUUACUAAAUAUCAGGUACUCAUUGAAUCUUUGCACCUGUAAGGUAGGUUUUAUUUUUAUCACUGUUUUACAAAUGAGGAAGCUGAGGUUCAGAUAGAUUAAAUACCAGCUACUAAGUGGCACAGCUGAGAUUCAAAUCCCGUUGUCUAUGUUUCUAGAACCCGCACUCUUAAACACUUUGCUGUAUUGCUUCCCACAUCCAAGAGGUAAGAAGACAUAACCUCACAAAGAGAAGGUAAUAAAUGCAGGGUCACUGAUCUCAAAUAAAAGCUGUUCUCAAUUGUGCCAACUGUUCUUCUCCCAACCCUCAUCACUCACAGUGACUCAAUAAUGUGGCUGGUGAAAAACAAAACUGAAGAGCAGGAAUUUCAUUCAUUACCACACAUCUGUUUUCUGACAGAGUAAAUAGUAUACUCCAUGCCCUCUCACCCUUAAGAGCCACCAUCUCCAAAACAUUUUUAU
rnacentral:lncRNA from 10 species